GAUGAACGCUGGCGGCGUGCCUAAUACAUGCAAGUCGAGCGAACGGAUGAGAAGCUUGCUUCUCUGAUGUUAGCGGCGGACGGGUGAGUAACACGUGGAUAACCUACCUAUAAGACUGGGAUAACUUCGGGAAACCGUAGCUAAUACCGGAUAAUAUUUUGAACCGCAUGGUUCAAAAGUGAAAGACGGUCUUGCUGUCACUUAUAGAUGGAUCCGCGCUGCAUUAGCUAGUUGGUAAGGUAACGGCUUACCAGGGCAACGAUGCAUAGCCGACCUGAGAGGGUGAUCGGCCACACUGGAACUGAGACACGGUCCAGACUCCUACGGGAGGCAGCAGUAGGGAAUCUUCCGCAAUGGGCGAAAGCCUGACGGAGCAACGCCGCGUGAGUGAUGAAGGUCUUCGGAUCGUAAAACUCUGUUAUUAGGGAAGAACAUAUGUGUAAGUAACUGUGCACAUCUUGACGGUACCUAAUCAGAAAGCCACGGCUAACUACGUG
rnacentral:rRNA from 1 species